CCUACGGGGGGCAGCAGUGAGGAAUAUUGGUCAAUGGACGAGAGUCUGAACCAGCCAAGUAGCGUGAAGGAUGACUGCCCUAUGGGUUGUAAACUUCUUUUAUAUGGGAAUAAAAUGUUCCACGUGUGGGAUUUUGUAUGUACCAUAUGAAUAAGGAUCGGCUAACUCCGUGCCAGCAGCCGCGGUAAUACGGAGGAUCCGAGCGUUAUCCGGAUUUAUUGGGUUUAAAGGGAGCGUAGGUGGAUUGUUAAGUCAGUUGUGAAAGUUUGCGGCUCAACCGUAAAAUUGCAGUUGAAACUGGCAGUCUUGAGUACAGUAGAGGUGGGCGGAAUUCGUGGUCUAGCGGUGAAAUGCUUAGAUAUCACGAAGAACUCCGAUUGCGAAGGCAGUUCACUGGACUGCAACUGACACUGAGGCUCGAAAGUGUGGGUAUCAAACAGGAUUAGAUACCCGGGUAGUC
rnacentral:rRNA from 1 species